AGCAGUGUUAUAAACGCAGAUUAUAUGAUGCUGCUGCUUCUUAAAAAAUGGAGAAAUAUUACAGAAUCCUACUACUGCUACUAAAAUUUCAUCUGCAAUGACGUUUAUGGAAGAUUGCUACAAAUUUACUUAAUUAACAACACUUUGUU